UACGUAGGGUGCGAGCGUUGUCCGGAAUUACUGGGCGUAAAGCGUGCGUAGGCGGUUUGUUAAGUCUGCUGUGAAAUCCCCGGGCUCAACCUGGGAAUGGCAGUGGAUACUGGCAAGCUAGAGUGUGUCAGAGGAUGGUGGAAUUCCCGGUGUAGCGGUGAAAUGCGUAGAUAUCGAGAGGAACACCGGUGGCGAAGGCGGCCUUCUGGACAGUGACUGACGCUGGAGA
rnacentral:rRNA from 1 species